rnacentral:lncRNA from 1 species
UUUACAUCUAAAUACAUCGCACAAUUAUUCAAUCUUUUAUAUUUAUUUUUUAAAAUAAAGUUUAUGUGAGUUGAAUUUUAAGGGUUUGAUCAUCAUAAGAGUAAAAAAUAGAUGAUACAGAUUUUAUGAUCUUCUGCAAUGUAAAGCAUGACUUUUUGUUUGCUUUGAAUGUAAUGUAACUUUUCUAUGGAUAAGCACUCACCAACCAUCUCCAUAAUUUUCAUAUACAAUGACACUCAAAUCUUACCUAUUCACUUUUGGCCAAGACAAUGCAGAAAACCAAGCCUGUAAGGCUUGGUCCCCAAGCCAUGCAUAAUGUAACAACUACAUAGUCACCAAAGUGAACAUAGUCUAAUAAGUUUUUUCAUGUAACAAAAUGUUCAGAUGUUUUUUGUUUAAUCAUAUAUUUAUUUUUUGGUGAAAAUCAAGACAAUUUGAUUAUUGAUAUAAUGAUUUCAUA